rnacentral:rRNA from 1 species
CGUGUAGGCGGUUGGUCAAGUCGGGUGUGAAAGCCUGAGGCUCAGCCUCAGAAGUGCAUCCGAAACUAGCCAGCUAGAGCGCGAUAGAGGAGGGUGGAAUUCCUGGUGUAGCGGUGAAAUGCGUAGAUAUCAGGAGGAACACCGGCGGCGAAGGCGGCCCUCUGGCUCGUUGCUGACGCUGAGACGCGAAAGCGUGGGGAGCAAACA